rnacentral:rRNA from 1 species
UACGUAGGGUGCGAGCGUUAAUCGGAAUUACUGGGCGUAAAGCGUGCGCAGGCGGUUUUGUAAGCCAGAUGUGAAAUCCCCGGGCUCAACCUGGGAAUGGCAUUUGGGACUGCAAGGCUGGAGUGCGGCAGAGGAGACUGGAAUUCCUGGUGUAGCAGUGAAAUGCGUAGAUAUCAGGAGGAAUACCGAUGGCGAAGGCAGGUCUCUGGGCUGACACUGACGCUCAUGCACGAAGCGUGGGAGCAACAGGAUAGAACCC